GAUGAACGCUGGCGGCGUGCCUAAUACAUGCAAGUCGAGCGAACGGACGAGAAGCUUGCUUGUCUGAUGUUAGCGGCGGACGGGUGAGUAACACGUGGAUAACCUACCUAUAAGACUGGGAUAACUUCGGGAAACCGGAGCUAAUACCGGAUAAUAUUUUGAACCGCAUGGUUCAAAAGUGAAAGACGGUCUUGCUGUCACUUAUAGAUGGAUCCGCGCUGCAUUAGCUAGUUGGUAAGGUAACGGCUUACCAAGGCAACGAUGCAUAGCCGACCUGAGAGGGUGAGCGGCCACACCGGAACUGAGACACGGUCCAGACUCCUACGGGAGGCAUCAGUAGGGAAUCUUCCGCAAUGGGCGAAAGCCUGACGGAGCAACGCCGCGUGAGUGAUGAAGGUCUUCGGAUCGUAAAACUCUGUUAUUAGGGAAGAACAUAUGUGUAAGUAACUGUGCACAUCUUGACGGUACCUAAUCAGAAAGCCACGGCUAACUACGUG
rnacentral:rRNA from 1 species